GACGAACGCUGGCGGCGUGCUUAACACAUGCAAGUCGUACGGUAAGGCCCUUUCGGGGGUACACGAGUGGCGAACGGGUGAGUAACACGUGAGUAACCUGCCCACAACUUUGGGAUAACGCUAGGAAACUGGUGCUAAUACUGGAUAUGUGCUCCUGCUGCAUGGUGGGGGUUGGAAAGCUCCGGCGGUUGUGGAUGGACUCGCGGCCUAUCAGCUUGUUGGUGGGGUAGUGGCCUACCAAGGCGGCGACGGGUAGCCGGCCUGAGAGGGUGACCGGCCACAUUGGGACUGAGAUACGGCCCAGACUCCUACGGGAGGCAGCAGUGGGGAAGAUUGCACAAUGGGCGCAAGCCUGAUGCAGCAACGCCGCGUGCGGGAUGACGGCCUUCGGGUUGUAAACCGCUUUCAGCAGGGACGAAGCUUUUUGUGACGGUACCUGCAGAAGAAGCACCGGCUAACUACGUG
rnacentral:rRNA from 1 species